rnacentral:rRNA from 1 species
UACGUAGGGCGCAAGCGUUAUCCGGAAUUAUUGGGCGUAAAGAGCUCGUAGGCGGCUUGUCGCGUCGGAUGUGAAAGCCCGGGGCUUAACCCCGGGUCUGCAUUCGAUACGGGCAGGCGUAGAGUUCGGUAGGGGGAGAUCGGAAUUCCUGGUGUAGCGGUGGAAAUGACGCAGAUAUCAGGAGGAACACCGGUGGCGAAGGCGGAUCUCUGGGCCGAUACUGACGCUGAGGCGCGAAAGCGUGGGGAGCAAACAGG